CUGGGAUACGGACGAGAGACUCGUGGAACCAAGCGGAGGUGAAGGGGCACCGGCGACCACAGGGCUUUAGCGCGGACCGUCCCCUACCCCCACCCGCCCUCCUCUCCCCUCAGACGGUUACCUGCCCUUCCGGCCGCUGCUCAUUAACGGGGCCGGUAUGUCCGCCGCCCGCGGCCCCUGCCUGCUCUGGUUGCGCCCCCGCGGGCUGGGGAGGGGAAGGGGGGCGGAGGAGGAGGGGAGCCGUUCGCGCUGUGUCUGGCUGGUCCCGGGGAGAUCGCAGCUCAGGCGGGGGGGAGGGGUCGGGAGUCGGAAGGAGAGGGCGGCGGGGGGGGGGUCGCUGGGUCUCGGCUCCUCCUCGUUUGCUUGGUCCCCGCUCAGCUCCCCGCAGCCAUCGGGAAGCGAGAGCCUGGGCGCGGUAACCUCCGCCCCGCCCGUGCUGCCCGGCCGGGAAACCCCGGCUCGGCUCGGCUCGGCGCUCCGCCCCGCCCCGCCACCACCCCCGGCACCGCCCCACCCUGCCCCCCUCGCACCUCCGGGUGGCGGCAGGCCUAGGCCCCGCUGCGCUGGAGGCACCGCUGUCUCGACGGUGACACGCCAGCACGGCCGGGAGGGCCGUGGCUACGACUGGACCUCACAUGAGCCAGGCAGGGCAGGUAUUACCAAGACAGAAUCGUUUCACGUCAGCACUCAUGGACUAAAGCUUCAAUACUUAAUGAUACAAAGCAGUUUCCUCUACUUCUGAAACAUGGUCUUCCACAGGAGGAGUAUUUAUACAGCAUCUUCCACCCAAAAGCACUAUGCAAAGCAGUAGGUAGAUUGCAUUUAUUUUUCCUGUUUUCAGGCUGCUCAUCCAUUUCUGAUGAAACAGCUCAUG
rnacentral:lncRNA from 1 species